UGCGUUGCAGUGCGAUCCAGUGCUUUUUUUGAGUGACAUUUUGACAGCUCUUAAAUUUAUUUUUCCGAUAUCCUCCGCCAGAAAUUGUUUGCGGAUUUUUUUCCGAAUUGUUCAAAUUAUAAACAAAAUGCCACGAGGAAACGAAAAAACAACAACCAAACAAAUCGAGCAUUUGGUUAAUUUAAUGCAAGAAAAACCCGAUAUAGCAAGAAAUUACACGAAAAGGUCCACAGAAGAUGUUGCUGCAUUUUGGGAAGAGGUUGCUGACAAACUCAACCAACUGGAAGGACGUCAACGAGAUGUAGCUGGUUGGAAAAAGGUUUGGAGCGACCAUAAGACGUACAUAAAAAAAAAAGUUGGCGGCAAAUAAAAAGGAGAUCACGGGCACAGGUGGUGGUCCCCAUAAACAGAAAUCGUUCACACCAUUGGAGGAUGCUGUCAUAGCCUUGAUACAUUCCAACGAUUCUGUUAAUGGCAUUGGUGCAAAAUCGUUUGGAACAGGUAAUGAUAAUGAACAAGCAGCCAGUGAACCAUCAUCACCAAACACAACUGCAGCAGAUGCAGAGAACAUCGAAGGUGAUAGAAACUCUAACUCGAACUGCCGACAAAAGACUCUGUCGUCUAUUCAACUUCUUAGGAAGCAGGUCGAAAAUCAGUCGUCUUAUUACGACCAUAUGAAAACUUCCCUUCAGGCCGCAACAAAAGCAUUGCAGGACACCACAAAUAUCUUGCGGGACACAGCUAAAACCUUGCAAGACUCAGCAGUACAUCUCAAAAGGGUGUAUAGAUCGGUGGAAUAUACGGGUGAAAUAGAAAAUAAAAAGCUUAAAGAGAUGCAAUUUCACAACGCUGAGAUGCGAAAAAUUGCAAUGAGAAAACUUGAAAUCAAGGCCAAAAUUCUUGAAAUUGAGAUUUCAAGAACUAAUGUCAUGUUGCAAUGAUUCCAUUUCAUAAAACUUUACUAAGAUCCAGAUCUCAAUCCAUAAAAUUAUAAACGCCAAGGAGGCUAUAGUCAUUUUGUUUAUAUGUACAUGAAUUAUUAAGUUUUGUUUUUUUUUUAUG